rnacentral:rRNA from 1 species
CCUACGGGUGGCAGCAGUGGGGAAUAUUGCACAAUGGGGGGAACCCUGAUGCAGCGACGCCGCGUGGGUGAAGGAGUACUUCGGUACGUAAAGCCCUAUCAGCAGGAAAGAAAAUGACGGUACCUGACUAAGAAGCCCCGGCUAACUACGUGCCAGCAGCCGCGGUAAUACGUAGGGGGCAAGCGUUAUCCGGAUUUACUGGGUGUAAAGGGAGCGUAGACGGCAGUGCAAGUCCGGAGUGAAAGCCCGGGGCUCAACCCUGGGACUGCUCUGGAAACUGUAAAGCGGGAGUGCGGGAGGGGCAGGCGGAAUGCCUGGUGUAGCGGUGAAAUGCGUAGAUAUCACGCAGAACUCCGAUUGCGAAGGCAGCAUACCGGCGCCCAACUGACGCUCAGGCACGAAAGCGUGGGUAUCGAACAGGAUUAGAUACCCCGGUAGUC